ensembl:lncRNA
CGGGAGGUGAAGAAGGGAGUGUAUAUGCCCCCUAUCUCUAACCUCCCUAUUAACCCUGCUCCCGUCCGACUGCACUUGGCUGUGCUGGGACAGAACUGACCUCCACACAGCUGGCAGGGGAGCAGCAUGGAAGUCACGACACACUCAGAGUCACAGGCAGUGCAGAACACAUACUCAGUUUUUACACAUGCAUACAUGCACACAAACAUUCACAAUCACAUUUGCACUCAUUCACAAGUGCACAGAACCUUUUCUCAAGACAAACACAAAGUCAUAUAGAGGGCAAACACACACACACACAAAUACAAACAUACAGUUGAAGUCGGAAGUUACCAUACACUUAGGUUGGAGUCAUUAAAACUUGUUUUUCAACCACUCCACAAAUGUCUUGUUAACAAACUAUAGUUUUGGCAUGUCAGUUAGGACAUAUAUUUUGUGCAUUUUGUGCAACUCACUGUAUCACAAUUCCAGUGGGACAGAAGUUUACAUACAUUAAGUUGGCUAUGCCUUUAAACAGCUUGGAAAAUUCCAGAAAAUGAAGUCAUGGCUUUAGAUGCUUUUGAUAGGUUAAUUAUCAUCAUUUGAGUCAAUUGGAGGUGUACAUGUGGAUGUAUUUCAAGGCCUACCUUCAAAAUCAAUGCCUCUUUGCUUGACAUCAUGGGAAAAUCAAAAUAAAUCAGCCAAGACCUCAGAAAAAAAGUGUAGAUCUCCACAAGUCUGGUUCAUCCUUGGGAGCAAUUUCCAAACGCCUGAAGGUACCGCGUUCAUCUGCAGCCAUCUUACUGCUCAGGAAGGAGAUGCAUUCUAUCUUCUAAAGAUGAACGUACUUGUCACGUUCUGACCUUAGUUCCUUUGUUUUGUCUUUGUUUUAGUAUGGUCAGGGCGUGAGUUGGGGUGGGCAGUCUAUGUUUGUUUUUCUAGGUUGUUAUAUUUCUAUGUGUUGGGCCUAGUAUGGUUCUCAAUCAGAGGCAGGUGUCGUUCGUUGUCUCUGAUUGAGAAUCAUACUUAGGUAGCCUGUUUUCCCCAUUUUGGUUGUGGGUGUUUAUUUUCUGUUCUGUGUUUUGUUGCACCGUUCAGGACUGUUUGUUUGUCGUGUUUUGUUUCAGUGUUCAUUAAACCCGUUUUAAUAUGAACACUUACCACGCUGCACCUUGGUCCUCCUCUCCUUCCCCAGACGACAAGCGUUACAGUACUUUGGUGCGAAAAGUGCAAAUCAAUCCCAGAAGAACAGCAAAGGACAUUGUGAAGAUGCUGGAGGAAACGGGUACAAAAGUAUCUAUAUCCACAGUAAAUCGACAUAACCUGAGAGGCCGCUCAAAAGUCACUGCUCCAAAACCGCCACAAAAAAAUCCAGACUACGGUUUGCAACUGCAAAUUGGGACAAAGAUUGCACUUUUUGGAGAAAUGUCCUCUGGUCUGAUGAAACAAAAAUAUAACUGUUUGGCCAUAAUGACCAUCGUUAUGUUUGGAGGAAAAGGGGGAGGCUUGCAAGCCGAAGAACACCACCCCAACUGGGAAGCAAUGGGGUGGCAGCAUCAUGUUGUGGGGGUGCUUUGCUGCAGGAGGAACUGAUGCACUUCACAAAAUAGAUGGCAUCACGAGGAAAGGAACAUUUUGUGGAUAUAUUGAAGCAACAUCUCAAGACAUCGGUCUUGAAGUUAAGGCUUGGUCGCAAAUGGGUCUUCCAAAUGGACAAUGACCCCAAGCAUACCUCAAGAUGUGGCAAAAUGGCUUAAGGACAACCAAGUAAAGGCAUUGGAGUGGACAUCACAAAGCUCUGACCUCAAUCCUAUAGAAAAUGUGUGGGCAGAACUGAAAAAGUGUGUUCGAGCAAGGAGGCCUACAAACCUGACUCAGUUACACCAGCUCUGUCAGGAGGAAUGGGCCAAAAUUCACCCAACUUAUGGUGGGAGGCUUGUGGAAGGCUACCCAAAACAUUUGACCCAAGUUAAACAAUUGAAUGGCAAUGCUACCAAAUACUAAUUGAGUGUAUGUAAACUUCUGACUUCUGGGAAUGUGAUGGAAGAAAUAAAAGCUGAAAUAAAUCAUUCUCUCUAGUAGUAGACUAUUAUCCUGACAAUUCACAUUCUUGAAAUAAAGUGGUGAUCCUAACUGACGUAAAACAGGGACUUUUAUUAGGAUUAAAUGUCAGGAAUUGUGAAAAUCUGAGUUUAAAUGUAUUUGGCUAAGGUGUAUGUAAACUUUCGACUUCAACUGUAUAUAUAUAUAUACACACACACACAGUUUACAGGAUAAAAUUCUAGCAAUACCGUAUGUACAAACAUAAAUCCUUUUUGAAGCUACUAACGUACAGUUUUCAUUAUAAAGCAAAAGCAUUAGAUUAGUGCUGGAAGUUUUUGUAUCCUACAAUGGAUAGCAGUAGCUGUAUGAUACACGUGCAAGUAUAGUGAUCAUUGUUACAACCAUUACCAUUUUUGUGAGCUAUCAUAAUUAUCAUAGUAGUUUGGCUGGCAGAGUGGCGUAGACAGCCAGAUAGAUAGUGAGACUCCGCCCUAUUAUCACUCACAACACUACAGGGCUAUAGUAUGCAGAACAGUGCCAUAUUAUCAUUCACAACAUUACAGAGCUAUAGUAUGCAGAACAGCCCCAUAUUAACACUCACAACACUACAGAGCUACAGUAUCCAGAACAGAACCUAUUAUCACUCACAACACUACAGAGCCUAUAGUAUCCAGAACAGCCCCCUAUUAUCACUCACAAGACUAGAGCUAUAGUAUCCAGAACAGCCCCUAUUAUCACUCACAACACUACAGAGCUAAAAUAUCCAGAACAGCCCCUAUUAUCACUCACAACACUAGAGAGCUAUAGUAUCCAGAAGAGACCCUUAUUAUCACUCACAACACCACAGAGCUAUUAGUAUCCAGAACAGCCCCCUAUUAUCACUCACAACACUAUAGAGCUAUAGUAUCCAGAACAGCCCCCUAUUAUCACUCACAACACGACAGAGCUAUAGUAUCCAGAACGUCCCCCUAUUAUCAUUCACAACACUAUAGAGCUGUAGUAUCCAGAACAUCCCCCUAUUAUCAUUCACAACACUAUAGAGCUGUAGUAUCCAGAACGUCCCCCUAUUAUCAUUCACAACACUAUAGAGCUAUAGUAUCCAGAACAGCCCCCUAUUAUCAUUCCCAACACUAUAGAGCUAUAGUAUCCAGAACGGCCCCCUAUUAUCAGUCACAACGUUACAGAGCUAUAGUAUCCAGAACGGCCCAGCACCCUGUUAUCACUCACAACAGAACUGUGUUGACAACUAAACUCUCUACUAAACUCUUUCGCUCUCCUACUCUGAGACGGCCAGUGGGCAAUUGUCUGUGCCCCACUAGACCAGUGUGUCCCCACGCUAUCCUGCACCCCCACUUGGUCCUCCUACGGGAGUGGUCCCUGGCUGGAGACCGAUAACGAAAAAUGUAAAUUAAGUCAUGUUGUCCAUGCCAUGUGCAUCAUAUAGUGGAGAGUAACAGUGGGAUUUAUUAUGAUGUGUUCUGUUUUCAUUCGUUUAGUUCCCUCCUUUCUGCUUUACCUCCGUUGAGGUUCUCCGUAAACCAUUUACAUAAACUAUUUACCAGUAACCACUUAGACUCUGGCAUCCGUCAGAGAGAUUACUCCUGUUCUCAACAUGAGCUUCCAUUACUGAAGGUUUGUGUCGUGUGUGUGUGUGUGCAUGCAUGCAUGCAUGCGUGUGGAGAAUUAACCUUUUGCCAUGAUUCGGAUAAAAGUUUAGGAAAUUAGAAGGAGUUUAGUGUAGGACGCAAUGUCACAAUGCUUUCAAAUCAGAAUAAUUCUGAAGGCUCUAAAAUUAUCCUCUAGUACAUCUGUAGAACAAAUCGACCAAACGGCCUGUGUGAUGAUGAACAAUUUUGUAUUUAUUAAAGUUUAAUGAGGCUGAAUGGAAAUAGAUUAGGACAUUUGUCUGGUUUUCUCUCUGCCAGAAGAGACGUGUGAGAAUCCAUCUUGGCUCCGGUCUUGGGAAUAGAGGUCAUGACUCACCUGAUGUUUCUCAUUCCAAUCCUGUGGUUUUCCAUAUUCCCGUUUUUGUGAAUGUCUGUUGUGGUUGUUGAUGGUGUAAACGUCAAUCACAGAUGGAAGGAUUAGAUGAAGGUAUUUAGUUUUGUUAUCUUUCCCUCCUUCUAUUCUUCUUCAUCAGUUCAUGCCUAGACCUCAUUAUCCCCAUCCACAGUAACUAAGCUGGAGUAUGGUCACUCUUAGAAAAAAGGGUUCCAAAAGGGUUCUUCGGCUCUCCCUAUAGGAGAACACAUUUUGGCUCUAGGUAGAACUAUUUUUGGUACAAUGUAGAACCCUUUUGGUUCCAGAUUGAACCCUUUGUGGAAUGAGUUUUACAUGGAACCCAACCGGGUUCUACCUGGAACCAAAAAGGGUUAUUCAAACGUAGGGACAGCCGAAGAAACCUUUUAGGUUCUAGAUAGCAAAUUGUUUUCUAAGAGUGCAAUAGACACAUGUUCUAUCUGGCCGGUGAUUCGAUGUUGUUGUGUUUUGAGUCAUUGCUCUGAGUAAUGUUAUCAAUCAUGGAGCAGGGACUUAUGCAACUGAAAUAAUGAUAAAGGGUGACCCAGGUUCCUUGAAACGUUGGUUCCCCUCUUGGAACCACCGUACCCAAACUCCUGCUUCUAUAACCUUCCAUUCCAACCAGACACUGCAUUCUGGAAGAUUUUUCUGGGUACAGAAACCUCUAGACUAUAUGUAUGUAACAUCUCUGCAAAUAUUCUGUCCAAGCCACUAACCCACAACAGUAAAGAAAAGGGGGAAAUACUGUUCAAACGCUCAAAAAAUCUGGUCUAAACCAAAAGCAUUCUGUACCGAUCUGAGACGAGCACAUCUCAGUUUUUUUUUAUUGUGUCAAGGGGAGAAGAGUUUGUUAUUUUUCGAUCCCUGGUAGGUACUGCUGUUCAGGUUUGAAGAUAAGCAUUUGCAUACAUAUGAAAUCCAUUCGACCUUCAAGGGUCCUUGAAUGUAAGAGGAAAUGGGGUUGUAAGUGUACUUCAUUCGGUGCACUUCAAAUUGAGAGCCUUUUGAACUUCCCUCAACAUGCUCUAUAUCUCCAUCCCUCUACCUCUCUACCUGAACGAGAGUACUCGUUUCCUAGGUUACCUAUUCAUUUAGCCCUUUGUGGAGCGUGCUGCACAUUCUAAUUGAUUCUAAUGGAUGACAUUUAAAGGGUGGACUGCCAAAAAGGUUUUGCUAUUCAACUGUAACAUUCCUGAAUAGAACAACAUUAUAGUGUUCUAGACAGAAUAUACUUCUAGCCUUUCAUGUUUCUACGGGAGAAUGGGAGACAUCUGACUGACUGAGUGAGUGUCUCGUCUUGAGAAAGUCUUGAGAAUCUUGGCUGAGCUCUCCCCUGCCUCCCCCAGUUUGUCCUUGCCUUGUGGAGUGUGUUGUGUGUGUGUGUGUGUGUGUGUGUGUGUGUGUGUGUGUGUGUGUGUGUGUGCUUGUGUGUAAGUUGUUAGUGGCGAGACAUCUCUUUUUCAGCGGCCCCUGUAAUAGGGUAGCCCCUAAUGGGAAACCCCUUUAUGUUUGGCCCAGGGAAUGCACUGAUGAAAAUACACAAACAAUAGUCUCCGAUAAAAGGGGGAUCAUUAACAGCUACAGGACAACUUUUGAAAUAUAUAGAUGUUUUGUUCUCUAUUUUACACCAAGGUUAGGGUGUUCUGCUCUUUAUUACAGAGACAGUAAUCCCCCACCCCCACCCCUGCCCAGCCCAUUAAUAACAACAUCUAAAUAAUUUGUUUUUAGCACCCUUAUUUGGGUAGGAAAGUACGAUAGAAUAGUACUUUAACCACUCACCUCACACAAUUUUUAUGUGACUUCCCUUAUCUUCAAUCAUCCUCUCAACAACAUGUUUCAUAGGAAAUUAGGUCUGAUAUUAGAUAUGACUGAACCAAUUGGUCUGAAAUAAUAAGAAAUAUGACACCCGGGAAGAGGUUUGGAGCUGGUUUUGUGAACGUUUCACUCUCAUAGGUAACGUCCUCUUACCUUUUGUCUUUGUAGCAGAAAACCAUGUUUUCCACAGACUCAAAUAUUUGUCAAGGUCGCUAUUUCCUUGGGUCGACUUACCAUGACUCAGGGUUCAAACAAUCUAUUCCCAUAACAAAUAAGGACCCACUAUUUUAAAGGAACCCACAAGAGGCAAUAUGUAAACAGACCAUGAUAUUUACAUCAAUCAAGGCUUGACCAGAAUACUGUUGUGGACAGUCACCCCCCUUUCAGUAUGCUCACACUGGCCCCUAGAGGUGAGAGUGGGACAUAUCAGAUAACAUGCAUCGGCCAUGUUCACAAACUACGUUAUUGAUGGGACCAUUAUAUGCCUGCACUGGAUCUCAAAUGACAUUGUACCAACUCAGGUCAUUACCCAUGACAAAACACUAUCAUAGAAAACAAAGUGACUGUAAGCUUCGCAAGUCAGUAUUUUACUGAUUUGAUAUCCUACUAAUAAAAACAGUCAUUCAAUGUUGAGUGUUUAACAUCAUAACUGUGCUAUACCUGUAGACAUGAGAGAGAUGUGCAGAUUAAAGGACAUUUAUUUAUCUGAAAUUUGCUCCGUUGACUGUGGCUCAGACUGUCUGUGAAUUAAUGAGCAACUGAAGGCAAUAAACAAAUUACUUGGUAGAAAACAAACUAUGUGGCCUCGAUAUUAGUCAGAAACAUUUCUUUGAAUGUCAAAAUUGACUACCACGUGUAAAUAGGAUCAUUUUGGUCAUAAAGUCAGUCUCGUCAAAAACUGAGAUUUGCGAGAUAAUUAGGAAAAAUGUGUACGUUUCAGAAUGAAGGGUACUGUAACAGUCUUCCUUGGGUUGGGUUUAUUUCAAUCAUGCCUACAUCUGUCAGCAAUCAUCAAUUCGGUCUGGACUCAACCACAUGAUAAUGCCCAUGGCCAAGUUGGUUUGACAUUUGAUAUCCUUAUGGGACCAAUGGAACAAUAUUUUUUAAAUGUAAAUAGCUCCAAUUGCAAUGACUUAAAGACCUCAAACUAACUAUAAAUUGUAGAAAUUCAUAUACAAAUAUUGAAAGCAUUUAAUGAGACUAACAGAUGUGCAACAUGAAAAUAUUGUCCCAUUUACAUUGUGUAAUUUAUUGACAGUCCCUAACUAGCCCCACAGAUAGGCUACCCAAAGCAGGUCCUUGCCAUUCUGCUGCCCUAGGCAAGACCCCCAAUAAUGCAGCCCCCUCAAAACUAGAAUAGUCCCAUUAAGCAAAAUUACGUUGACAAGAUGUCUAAAAGACGUAACUUCCAGACGUUGAAGUUGUUCAAUUUAGGUUCUGAAUGAAAGGUGAAAAUACGUAUUUUCCAGACAUUGAAAACGUUUAUUUUCUGGGUGUUGAAAUCAGGCAAAUAUUUGGUUCUGAAUGAAUGUUGAAAAGAAGUAAUUUAUAGACGUCUAUGUUUGGGCCAAAUCAAGGCUUGUUCAGACCGCACAAAAUCUGAACCAAACAUAGACGUCUAUGAUUGGUUCAGAUUUGGUACGGACUGAACCAAAAAUCAAUGUCCGUGGAUGUGGAAAUCAAGGCCAAUCCAGACUGCACCAACAAAAGACAUCCAAAAGGCGUCGGCUUCGUUCCAUGCUUACUGAGGUGUAGCCUACAGUGUUGCCUGAAAUAUAAUUUCAUGAAUCUCCAAUAUGUGGUAAGCCUACCAUUUGUAGAACACAAAAAAAAGAGGUCUGGUCUGAACCAGAACCAAAAAAAGGCGUCCAAAAGAUGGCUUGUGCUUACUGGGGUGUAGCCUACCAUGUCAUACACACAAUGGAACUGUAUGAAUGCCCAUCCAUGUGGUAGGCCCACCAUUUGUAAUUACAGUCCAUUUCAUUGGCUUUGUUAGUCCUGUAUCCUGUGACUAAUCAAUUCGACUAUUUAAGCUCUGAAUAUCAGCUACCCAAGGUUAUCAGGAGUUAUCGUGAGACUAUUGUAAAUAAGAAUGUGUUCUUAACUGACUUGCCUAGUUAAAUAAAGGUUCAAUAAAAAAUGAAUACAUUUUCAAUGUGUUUACACAGCGGGAAAUGUAAAAAACAUAUUUUAUUUUUUGCUAUGAUCAACUUUGAUGGAUACAAACUUAAAACCACCAAUCAAAAUAGAAAUCAAACUGGAUGGACAUCAAAAAUAGAGGAAAGCCAGGACAAAAAAACAAACCAAAUGUAACUAUUGUAACAUAGAUUGUGUCUGUAAAAUGUAUAUAGUACGUAUAAGUUGGAAGUUGUUAUUGUUUAUUAGUUUACUCCAAUUAGGGAAGGUGUGGUAGGGUUUGCAGGGAAUAAUAAAGGAAAAUAUAUAUUUAAAAAAGAUGUGUGUGUAUAAUAUAUAGUAUAAUAUAUAUGUAUAUUUGUAUGUAUGUAUAUGUAUGUGUACAUGUAUGCAUGUCUAUAUAUAUAUAUAUAGUGCUGAGCUAGAAGUGUAACUGUCGGGAUGAAACAGUUACACUUCUAGCUCAGCACUGGAAAUAAGUACUAUUUUUUCUAUCAAACAGCAGUUACCUUGCCAGCUAGAUCAUUCAACUAAAGAGUAGCCAGUUUCUAUUUGAUCGGAGAAACCUGCAUGAUGUAAAAAGUGUCUGUCUCAUUACAUUGUCAUACAUUUUAUCUCCAGCCUGUAGGCUACAGAAAAGGACAUGUAUUCAUUCUACCAUAUCCUAUAUCUGCUACAUGAUUUAUGUUAGAUAAUUGUUUUGACGGAACGUUGGUGGAGCGCUGCAGCAAUGCGUCACUCCAACAGCACCUCGGAGAGGCAAACUGGGAAUGGACAAGCAAAAUAUUUGGUGCACCUGCCUUUGACAAAGUGGGCUCUGCUUAUCACAGGGCAGCAUCAACGCUCACCUUAAAAACCGUUAUGCCAUUGCUUGAGACAAAUUGUCAUUGUUUUGGGUCAGAAUUAUGUGAGGAUUUAUGUGUUGUUGUUGGAGAUGGGUCUUGGUCAGUUUAGCUCAGAAAAUGACGCCCUCAUUAAUCUGCCACUGUUGGCGGCCACCUAAUCCUGCCUAAUGAGCGGGCCAGCCAUAAUCCAAAAUCAAUCCAAUUUUGCCACAAUGGCCGGCUGAAGCUGGGACAUGGGACAGUAGGUGAAACUUGAAGGUUCUUGUUUUAUAUCUUGUAGUGUUUGCCUGACUAGUGAGGUAGAGAACAAUAACUCAUCGAAGGCUAACGUUUAACUGAAUAUACUGUUUUAAUGUUAAAGAAGUUGGCUAGCUUGCUAGUGAGUCUAGGCUGCUUCCAGACACAAAACCUGGUUAGACUGUUUCAAGUUAUCUAGAACAACAAGAUCUCAUCGUGUCCCGUCUAACGUAUUAUGGAUGGUCUUUUUUUAAUGCAUUCAUUCCGUUACAGGGUUAAAACAACAUUAAUUCAAAGGUUAACAGUUUAGGCAUUACUUCAGAGUUGUUAAGAUUUUGCUACGGUAUGGGGAAGGCUUAAAAAAAAGUUUUAAAGCAACACACUAGGUAUCAUCAGUAUUCACGGCUUGCUAUAGCAUUGAGAACUGUCAGUGGUCUAAGCAGCACGCUCCAGCUGCAAACCUCAUGAGGCAGCAGUGUUAGACUGUUGGGCCAGUAAACGAAAGGUUACUGGAUUGAAUCCCUGAGCUGACAAGGUACAAAUCUGUCAUUCUUCCCCUGAACAAGGCAGUUAACCCACUGUAGGGUGUCAUUGUAAUUAAACGUAACUGACUUGUCUAGUUCAAUUUUAAGAAAUGAUUUUGCACCCAGUGCUGGGAAAUUUGUUUGCUUUCUUUUUGUGAGGCAUAUAUACUCAGGAACUUUUCAAACAUCUGAAAUCCCAGUCUACUUCUAGUGACCAGCCUGAUUUAGAACAGUGAAUGACUGUAACUGUGUACUUUUUUUGGCACAAUGAAAGUACAAACGCUUACCACGUUCGAACACACACACACACAAGAGACACCCACAUCAAAGCAUGGCCUCCAAGACCCAAAUCUCAUUCUCAGUCGUAUUUCCUAAUGAGAAGAAUUGAAACUGAAGCUGAAGUUCAACUCCCCUUUAACAUCAUGUUUAAAGAGUUCAACUCUUUUCUGACUCCUCUCCUCAGGUUUCAAUAGCAAUGAUAGCAACAAUCAAUAACUUAAGGUAACUUAUUAUGAGUGGCGAAUAAGUUGAGACCCUCAAUUCCAUAAAAGGAGCCAGUCCCGCCCUCUGGUUAUUCUCAAGCAUGCUUCUCUUCCUGACUCUCUUGCGAGCAAAAGGAAUGCAGUAAGAUGUAUUACUCAUAAUUUCAGAGAACUGGGGUUAAGCAAGUAAGUUCUCUUUCAAUUACUCGUUUCGAUAUCUCACAUGUGGGGAUAUUGCCAACUCCCAUAUCGCAAAACAUGCUCUCCAAAACCAGGGAAGUCCCAACAUCAGCAACCCUCAGAGGUCCCGAAACCAAGGGAGUAUGCACCAAAAAGGUGCACAGACAACCCAAGGGGAAAAAUCUCAUAACAAAGUGAGGGGAAGCAAGACGCAUACAACCUCAAUCUAAUGAGAUAUGCCCCAAACAGUGCCCGGGAGGUAAACUCCUAUGUAGGAGAGGGACCUCAGAAGGCCAUCAGCCAAAAUAAUGGUCCCCAUGAUCUGGCAGGAUAUCGUUGAAAUGAGCGAAGAGCAUGACAGCCUUGCCUGAGCUCUCCUAUAAUCCAAGUAGAUGUGAACCACACUUACUGGGAAGCGACUGGGAAAUGACGGGGAAACUAAGGGGGAAUGUCGGGGGAACAUCGGGGAAACGACAGGGAUGCCCUUUUAGGGAAGGAGACAGGCAAAAAGCCACAGGCUCCAAGGUGUGACAAUGGAAAAAAGUACAUUAACCUGAAAACCACCUGGACAGACUGUGGGCGCGAACAGUGGCUUGUAGAGCACUGUUCACACAUACGCUUAGGGACACCAAGGGCAGUAGUAAAGCGAAAGGAGGAAUAUUAUGUCACAAUGCUUUUAAUUGGCUAAUAGCUGCUGUGAAAGGAUUUUAAGCACAAUAGACACAGACAGCUAAAAGCUUGGCGAAUGGACGUAAGCGACGUGCCCACCAUAGAGACUACCCAACAGUUAUGGAUAAACUGUAUCACUGGCGGGACCAUGGCAGGCCGAGAAAGCGGCAAAAGGACCCUAACAAAGAUAAACCUUCUCCUACCAGGAGCAUAGGACCCUGGAAAGCAGAGUGUAGAGAUGAAAAAUCUGUAUAGUCACACCACUUCUCCACGACAUAAACGCACCAACGGUAAAAACAGAGAGCGUGCAUAAGUGGCCUGUAUCAUCUCCUUUUUUCAUUUUUUUCACCGGCUACGCCCCGAAGGCUAAAGCAUCUUGGUGAGCAGGGUUGUAACUGCCGAUGGGAAAAAACUCUGGUCAGUGAGGGGAGGGAGUCGAGGCUAUCUAUGACCUCGCUCCAACUUGGCUCAGUUGCGGAGUGCUGAGCCUCGGCUGUCACUGUUGGCUCGAAGGCCAGACGGGAUAUCGAAAUAGAAGCACGUUUAAGCCUCCUCUUCAGACCUGCCCUCGUCAGCAGUCUGCAGUGGUCAUUUGAUUCAGGGUCCCAAGCAAUUGAUGCAUAGAGGGUGGUACUCUUUCCCCACAAUCUUGGAGCUGCAAGAACUUGGGGGUUCGAGUGCUAGGCCUCGUUCUGGGAAGGGAUAGCAGUGGCCAUUGUGAGGGACAAGGCUUGCUAGUGGGACCAAGCAAUGCCUGUUGAAAGAACAACAUAGAUGUAGAUGGCAUGGGCUAGCUAGUUAGGAGCUUUGCGGCUAACAGUUAGCAAUAUCGACCACUGUAUAACGCUAUAGCCACGAGGCUAGUGGAGUGUUAGCUAGCUAGCAGCUACCUUGUGGUGAAGAUGUGUCGUGGCUAGCUCAGUGCUGGCUAAAGGAAACCAUGUGACUGAGUUAGCCUUCAGAAAGAGUGCUCCCGCAACCGACAAGAAGGCUGUGAGGGUUGGUCUAGUUAACAGAAUGGGUGAAUGUAGGUUAAACUAGAUGAGAUAAGGGAGCUAGUAAUGCUACCGUGUUGCUACCUUGCUUCUCGGCAAGCUCAAUAGCUAGCAGUGGCGCUAGUUACAGUACCAACAGAGACUGAGAAGUAGAAAAUGAAUUUUAUUGAAGUGAGGGUCUCACCUCAUUCACCACUCUACCUGUCUGUCUCCAACAAAAGCUUUGGAUAGGUACUUCCAAGAGAGUAGCUGGUCCUAGUGAAACCCCACAUUUGAGAUAUCGAAAAGAAUAAUUGAAAGAGAACCAUUACUGCAUCUCUUUCUGUAAGACUGAUGAUUACUUUGAAGAGAUGGAUCAAUUCUCUCUCUCUCUCUCAAGCAAAACUGUUUUAUUUUCUUGUGAGUUUAGCAUGUUUAAUCUACAGUAUGCAUGCCUGGUCUUGCCAACCACUCACUCACACCUGUAUGGAGAGAAAUGGAUGCAAUAGAUGCUAGCCAUGGGACUGAGUGAAACCAACUGCCAUUAAAAACACUGACUCCUGGCAUCCACACCAUUUUAAGUCCUUAGUGAUUUGGACACCUAGGACCUUGAAGCUCUCGAACCGAUGUAGGUGAAUACAGAGAGACUUACCUCAGGGGAUUUUGAUCUUGUAGUAACUCAGAUCAUGUAUAUUUUGAAAUGUAAAUGAAGGACUAAUUAAAGGAAUCUUUUGUUUUUGUUUUGUGCAUAGGUUCUACUCUAGGACUACAUUUCAUGAAUGUGUGACUCAGAUAAAUGCCAUGUAAGAAUAGGAUUCAAACCUCAGGAGUGGGAGGAGGGAUACUUUACAGUCUGGCCAGCACUCAUUCCUAGGUUUCUAAUCUCCAAUGUUAUGUUCAAAGUUAUUAUGAUGUAAUAUAUUUUAAAACAAGACAGUGCCCGGAAGAUAAUCUCUCUCAACCAGGUCUGAGCUGCUGUACUUAGCCUCUCCCACUGCUAAGAAGAGUUUAGAUAUAAAAUAAGUAUCUCUGUACUACAACAUUCAAAUUCCCACCAUGGGACCACCAUAGAUUUCCUUAUCUAUUCUUUAUUAUUUUAAUUUCUAUAGGGACCCCUCUCUGAGGUCCCAAAGUGUACCUUCCCAGGGAGUCACUGCGCAACCUCAAAUAACAGCCAUUUCAGGUUGUUGUGUGGAGCGACUCAAGACCAUUAUGAGAAACACACACAUUGUGGCUUCUCCGUUUGUCUCUCUAUUUGUUUGUUUCAUUGUAGUAAAGUAUUUUGCGAUAUAGCCUCGUUAAGUUUGGAACCUUUUAUAUAGUCUAAGUAUUACUGGAGAAACCUCGGAAUGGGUGCUGAACUCCGUCGCUCCACCUGAAGGUUAUCCAAGGGACACACACACUCACACACACAAACAGUUACAGGGGAAAGGUUCUAAUCUCAAAAUCACAAUUCUAAUUCAAUGGCGAUAUGGAAGUAUGCUAAAUCCUAAAUACUGUUCCACUUCCUGUUGCAAAUAGUGCUUGGACCCUUGGCUUUGGAGAACAGAACUGUACAUACUAUAUAUAUAUCAUGUCAUCUUGUCUGUUUCUUCUGCCAUGCCUGACAGAGUAAAAUGACUGUUGAUUUUUAAAUAGUGUAGAUAUGGUUGUGUAGGAUAUAGGAAGUAUCUAUAAUAUUCUAGCAUAUAUUCUCUAAGUGUUCAAUCCAUUUCACCCAGUCACACAGCAAAUUGACUUGUAGGAAGAGGUACAUAUAUAUAUAAAUCUGUCUCUCGACUAUCUGGAGGCUUUUUUAUUUAUACAUAUGUUUUAUACUGUCUGUCUUGUAAAAUAAUAUAUCUUUUUUGUCAUUAAAGCAUGUUGUUACACUGUUA